AGAAACGGGACUAGUUCCUUUUAUUUUCUUCACCCGAAACUGAUGACGGCUUCAUUACCGAUCUGAGAAACCGGUGAGGAGAUGCAGAAAUUCGGAGAUGAAAUUGGUGGCAAUGAAACAAGUCGUUGCUUCUAAUGGAAGAAUCAAGAGAUGGGGUUUGGUUGAUUAGGGUUUUGGUUCAAAUCUGGAUCAACGAUGGUUUGUGUUUGAGCUAUUGGAUUCCAUUCAAUUUUGCUAAGAAUGGAAUCCACGCUAUUCUUUUUGUUUUGUCGAUUUAGAAUCGUUUCUCGAAAGAAGAAGAAGAAGAAGCUGUUAGAAAUUUACAGAUUCUAUUCGGAGAAUUUUUUUAAUUACAUGAUUGUUGUGUUUACUCAUGGUGAUCUCUUCAAAAGAGAUGGCAACAACGCAUUAAUUGAUCGUUUGUGGAUCGCAAGGCCCAUGAACCCUUAAAGGAAUUGACCCGUCUGUGUAAAAACCGAUUGUUUCUUUUUGAUAAUGUGACUGCAGAUAGGAGUAAGCGGGCCAAACAAGUCCAGCGACUGAUUUCACUUGUACAUUUAGUCCCAAAAGAGAAUGGUAGAUAUGGUUGUAUGCAGAUACUGAAUUGAUGACACAGUAAACAUUCUUCUAAGAAAUGACAGUAAUUGAGAUGGUUACUGUGGGAUUAAUUGGUUUGAUUUGCAGACUAAUUGAAGACGAUGCUCAGAUGGACAUAGAGGAGCAAUUUCUAAUGGAGAAGCUUGUUAUUUCUUCUAAUAGGUUGGUCUAGUACAUGAAACUCUAGUCAGGCCAGAAGUAAUCCCUGCAAAUGGUAUUGGAAUCACAUUUCUGAAAGUACUUUGUUAUUUUCUUGGGCAGUCUGUGUCUCUUUGGCGUGACUAUCUAAAAUAUGUGGAAGAGCAUGAUCCAGCAGUCCAAGACUUCUCACCAGAAGGUCUCUCAAAGAUGAGAAACCUAUAUGAGCGUGCCCUUACUGCUGCUGGAUUACAUGUCACGGAAGGCAAGAAAAACUGGGAAGCGUAUAGAGAGUUCGAGAAUAAUUUGAUCACUACCCAUCAUGAAGAAAACACCGAUGUUAGGUUUCUUUAAACAGAAUGCGUUGGAUUGGUUGUUUUCUCCCCUAUACCAUGGAGAUUUGAUUCUAUGCACUUGUUUUUUAUGUUUAGGUUUCUUGCCUCGCAUGCUGUUUGGCAAGUUACAAAAUGUCAAGAUGUACUGUUUUAUUGGAUUGUAGAAAAAUAAUGGCUUUUGACGAAACUUCCUUAAGCUUACAGUUAUGGCUUUAUUUAAUUCCUCGCAUUUGGAUCUUAGACUGGCUCUGAACUUUAGAUUCCAGUCAUCGUGUCUGUUUCUUUUUGCACUGCGAAAAAAGGUGGGAAACAAUGUUGGUCAGGCAGCAUGUUUUUUUGUUAUUAAGGAUUCACGUAUUGAGGCUUUAAUGUUUUGUUUCUAAAGUUGUUAUAGCAUGCUACUACUUUGUUACUUUCCAUUACUUUUGUUUCUUAUUAUAUUCUGAAAGUAGUGUCUUAUUGUAUCUUAUAACCCUGCAGCGUCAAUUGGAGCAAGAAUGACGUAUUCGUAGUUUAUACCAGCGUCAAUUGUCUAUCCUACAUGCCGACUCAGAGUCCACACUUGUAUCAUACACGAAUUGGGAGUCUUUACAGCAACAGCAGAAAACAAGUAAUUCUGCCGAAUUGGAGGCUAUUCCUUCUGUUGUUGCUUCCGCACACGAAAAAUCCAUGGAGAUUUAUAACGCACGUCUCUAUCAUGAGGAGCAAAUUUCCAAGCAGGACAUGUCAGAGACAGAGAAGCUGAGAAGCUACAUGACGUACUUGAAAUUUGAGCAGUCUUGCACUAAGUGAGGUAAAAGAGUCACAACAGGAACUGGUAAUGCUUCCUCUACGAAGACCAGACUUGUUUAAAGGGGGGACUUUUAAAUCCUUGUAGAGGAAUAUUGUUGUUUGGUACUCCGGGUACUGAUAAGACAAUGCUCGCGAAGGCAAUAGCAAAUGAGGCAGGAGCAAUCUUCAUUAAUGUCUCUAUGCCGACCAUUACAUCCAAAUGGUUUUGUUUUGGUAGAGAACAGAGAAAUGAAAAAGGAUCUGAAGAAGGCGGAGGAAGGACAAAGCGCAGAAGAUACUUCAAAUCAAAAUGAAGGCAAUGAGGAAAGGACAAUUAACUUGAGGCCAUUGAACAUGGAUGGCAUGAAGCAGGCAAAGAAUCAGUUCAAUGCCUUAAGGCCCUUAACUUGAAAAAAUGGAGGAUCCUUCUGCUUGUAGUUCAAUCGAUUGAGAUCAGUCUCACGCGGUGGUGGCGGUGGUAGAGGUGGUGGUUAUGGUUGGUGGACGUAGAGACAAUUACAGAGAUGGAGAUUUUGGCCUGAUAGACAUCAACAUGGAGGAAACCGUUCACGCCCUUACUGAUGGAAUGUACACUGAUAAGCUUAUAUACCAAGAUAUGCGAAGUAUAAUGCAUCCUUUUUGUUGGAGUUGUUCGUUCCAAGAGGAGACAAAGAGGUAUGUGAGCAAUCCUUUUUGUUUACUAGAAUGCAGCGAACUGCACCACAUAAGCAUGGCCAACACAAAGAAAAAUAUUGACCGUGGUCCCUCCACCACCUAAAUCAGUGAUUUUGCAACUUAGCUUACAUUGUUUUCAAAUGGCAAAGAUCUGGUGUACAAUCUCCUAUACGUUCAAGAGAAUCAGCUCCAAUACAGACACCGCCCGUCGUUGCGCCUUGGUGCCAAGAUAUUCUCAGGUUGGCCACGGAAUGUCAAGUGAGACUUCAUGGAGUUAUGGCAUCAGCAACGGAAUAGUUACGGUGAGACUUUUCAUUGCAUAUGAUAUGUGUUGGCGUCCAUCAUUCAGGCUCUCAGCUAAACUACAUUGUAAAUUAUUGAUAUUGUAGUUUCACAAGUAAGAAUGGUUAUAAUAAUUUGCAGUCUCGAGAUCGAAGACUGGUUUAAGUGUUU